rnacentral:rRNA from 1 species
CCUACGGGGGGCAGCAGUGAGGAAUAUUGGUCAAUGGGCGUAAGCCUGAACCAGCCAAGCCGCGUGAGGGAUGAAGGUUCUAUGGAUCGUAAACCUCUUUUAUAAGGGAAUAAAGUGUGGGACGCGUCCUAUUUUGUAUGUACCUUAUGAAUAAGGAUCGGCUAACUCCGUGCCAGCAGCCGCGGUAAUACGGAGGAUCCGAGCGUUAUCCGGAUUUAUUGGGUUUAAAGGGUGCGUAGGCGGCCUUUUAAGUCAGCGGUGAAAGUCCGUGGCUCAACCAUAGAAUUGCCGUUGAAACUGGGGGGCUUGAGUAUGUUUGAGGCAGGCGGAAUGCGCGGUGUAGCGGUGAAAUGCUUAGAUAUCACGCAGAACCCCGAUUGCGAAGGCAGCCUGCCAAGCCAUGACUGACGCUGAGGCACGAAAGCGUGGGGAUCAAACAGGAUUAGAUACCCUAGUAGUC